UACGAAGGGGGCUAGCGUUGUUCGGAAUUACUGGGCGUAAAGGGCGCGUAGGCGGUCUUGUAAGUCAGAUGUGAAAGCCCCGGGCUCAACCCGGGAAUAGCAUUUGAUACUGCGAGGCUUGAGUCCGGGAGAGGAUGGCGGAAUUCCCAGUGUAGAGGUGAAAUUCGUAGAUAUUGGGAAUAACACUGGUGGCGAAGGCGGCCAUCUGGAUCGGUACUGACGCUGAGGCGCGAAAGCGUGGGGAGCAAACAGG
rnacentral:rRNA from 1 species